rnacentral:rRNA from 1 species
UGACAGUACUCCUACGAGAGGCAGCAGUGGGGAAUAGUUGCACAAUGGGGGAAACCCUGACUGCAGCCAUGCCGCGUGUGUGAAGAAGGACCUUCGGGUUGUAAAGCACUUUCAGUAGGGAGGAAGGUAGUGUAGUUAACACCUGCAUUAUUUGACGUUACCUACAGAAGAAGCACCGGCUAACUCCCGUGCCAGCAGCCGCGGUAAUACGGAGGGUGCGAGCGUUAAUCGGAAUUACUGGGCGUAAAGCGCAUGCAGGCGGCCUGUUAAGUCAGAUGUGAAAGACCCGGGGCUUAACCUCGGAAUUGCAUUUGAAACUGGCAGGCUAGAGUCUUGUAGAGGGGGGUAGGAAUUUCUAGGUGUAGCGGUGAAAUGCGUAGAGAUCUGAAGGAAUACCAGUGGCGAAGGCGGCCCCCCUGGACAAAGACUGACGCUCAGAUGCGAAAGCGUGGGGAGCAAACAGGAUUAGAUACCCCUGGUAG